CAAUAGCGUAUAUUAAAGUUGUUGCGGUUAAAAAGCUCGUAGUUGGAUUUCUGCUGAGAACGACCGGUCCGCCCUCUGGGUGUGUAUCUGGCUCUUUCUUGGCAUCUUCUUGGUGAACGUUGCUGCACUUGACUGUGUGGAGCGCUACCCAGGACUUUUACUUUGAGGAAAUUAGAGUGUUUCAAGCAGGCAUACGCCUUGAAUACAUUAGCAUGGAAUAAUAAGAUAGGACCUCGGUUCUAUUUUGUUGGUUUCUAGAGCUGAGGUAAUGAUUAAUAGGGAUAGUUGGGGGCAUUCGUAUUUAACUGUCAGAGGUGAAAUUCGUGGAUUUGUUAAAGACGGACUACUGCGAAAGCAUUUGCCAAGGAUGUUUUCAUUGA
rnacentral:rRNA from 1 species